rnacentral:rRNA from 1 species
UAAUACGAGUGCCCCGAGCGUUAUCCGGAAUUAUUGGGCGUAAAGGGUGCGUAGGUGGUGGUAUUAGUCUUAUGUUAAAUCCCUCGGCUCAACCGAGGAUUCGCAUAGGAAACGGUACCACUAGAGGAUGUGAGAGGUGUGUAGAACUCAUGGAGUAGGGGUGAAAUCCGCUGAUAUCAUGAGGAAUACCAAAAGCGAAGGCAGCACACUGGCACAUUUCUGACACUGAAGCACGAAAGCGUGGGUAGCGAAUGGG